rnacentral:rRNA from 1 species
AUUGAACGCUGGCGGCAGGCCUAACACCUGCAAGUCGAACGAGUGGCGGACGGGUGAGUAUUGUCUGGGAAACUGCCUGAAGGAGGGGGAUAACUACUGGAAAAGGUAGCUAAUACAGCAUACCAUCAGAUGUGCCCAGAUGGGAUUAGCUAGUUGGUGGGGUAACGGCUCACAAAGGCGACGAGUCCUAGCUGGUCUGAGCGGAUGACCAGCCACACUGGAACUGGGACACGGUCCAGACUCCUAAGGGAGGCAGCAGUGGGGAAUAUUGCACAAUGGGCGCAAGCCUGAUGCAGCCCUGCCGCGUGUAUGAUGAAGGCCUUCGGGUUGUAAAGUACUUUCAGCGGGGAGGCGUUACCCGCAGAAGAAGCACCGGCUAACUCCGAGCCAGCAGCCGCGGUAAUAC